rnacentral:lncRNA from 1 species
GCUGCAGCUUUUGGAGGUGAUGGGCAGGCAGGCUUUGGUUAGCUGUUCUGCACACAGGAGCUAAAGGGCUUAUGAAGUCUGAUCAACCAGAGUUGUUCAUGAGCCUGUUGUAGACAUAUUACCUGUCUCAGGUUCUGCCUGCAUUUUCCUGACCGACUGAUGGUAGUUGACUUUCAACCCUGUCCGUGCUUGGUGCUUGGUGCUUUUACCACUUAUCCACAAAAUACUCAUUUGCAUAGUGAUAGACUCAACGGUCACGGGGCAGGGCAGUCUAGAGGUGGUGAGGGCUAAGCAUUGUUGAAACCGCUACCCAGCUUGCCUGGGGGCAGUCCUGUGUGCUCCAGUGUGAUGCAGAAUGGAGUUGUGUCAAGUUGAACUGUGCCCUGGGAAGAGGAUUAGGCUGUUGUGCCUUUUGAUUCCUAUGAGUCAUUUCUCAAAACUUGGAAAAGUGUUAGACCAACUCAGGAGGCACAGAGGCAGCUUUUUAAAACCUGUUAAGACCUCAGCUACCCCCAUGGACUCCUGACUAAUCACGGGUGUCCAUACUCAGGAAUGGGCCCAAGAGACCUCAGCCUGUGCAGCCAGGAUCUUCACAUCUCUCCUGCUCUUCUUCCUUUUGGUCAUACCUCAUGCCACGUGAUGAGAAAACUGCUCUUGGAGAUGUUGUAAAUUCUUACCCUCUUUGGUUAACUGACUAGCCAAGGCCCUGACUUUGCUUUUGCACUGCCAAGCUUAGAUUCCUCAGAGCCUGUUUUGCCUCCAGAGCAUGACACUCAGACGAACCAAGUCCUUUUGCUUUCAGGCUUUUGUCGUCUUCACGUUUAAUAAACUCAGCUUUAAUUUCCUCAGGACUGAAAUGGAUAUCCAAUGACUCCAGAGUAUCAGCUGCCAAAAGCAACCAGAACACAAGCAGUUAUCAGGAAUGAGGACCAGGGUAGUCAAAGUUAGUAUCCGUAGCUGGCCUACUAGCACAACAUCCAUAAUCCCAGCACUUAGGAAUAGAAGCAGGAGGAUCAGUAGUUUUAAGGUCAUCCCUUUUACAUAGCCAGAGGCCAGCUUGGGCUACACCAGACCCUGUCCCCCAAAAAAUAUUCCUGCGAGAUGGAGUAGCUGCCCCAGUAUGCCUUAGUCCUAGAUGAGCCUUCAGUUCUCAUCCUGAAGAGGAGUGUGUAAGGCUGUGUUGAUAAGGGAGUUGAUAUUCACCUUAACAAAAAGAUUGGGAAUAACAUAACAGGCAUAAGAAAAAAUGGAGCAAGGUCACACAUGCCUAUUAUUCUAAUACUUGGAAAUCUAAGGAUGGUUGCUGUGAGUUCGAGACUAACCUCUGUUCUGUAGUAAAUGCCUGACCAGCUAAAGACAUGACAAGACUGUCUCAGCAACAAAGCUUUGAAACACUGUCCUCAGGUUUUAAAGGGGGUGAGGAAUGGUUGUUGCAGGGGACAGUGUGAGCCCUGCGGGUGCAGGUGCAGGUGCAGAGGAGCGAGGCAGGCUUAGUGGCCCUGUUUCCUCUUCAAGCACAGUGAUGAGUUCUAAUGAAGCCACCCAUGGGAAACCACACCUAAGGAAUUGGACGGAAGUGGCACCUGUUGGCUCAUCUCCACAACUAAAAUAGAGAACAUUUCCAUCAUCCAAGUCGCCUCAGGUCCCUUGAGUAGGGACCAUCCAUCAAUCGUCACUAAGCCACUGCUGUCUGCUGUGUAUUAGACGAAAUCAGUCAGUAUGGUUUUUAUUUGGGUGUGAUUUCACUCAGCAUGCUGUGAAAAGCAUCUGUGUUGUUACUUGAGUCAGUUUUCUUCAGAGAGUAGUAUUCUGUUACAUGAAUAUAUCCUAUUGGUGUGGGCAUCAGCUGUUUUUAGUUUGGGACAUUAUGAAUAAGAUGCUUAUGAACAUUUAUAUACAAUGUUGUGCGAACAUAUAACUUCACUUCUCUUCAAUAAAUACUGGUGGUUAAAAAUU